UUCUCUUUUGUAUUCAGUUUUUGGGAGGAUAAGCACAGCACCCUGUGCAUGGCUACGCUCACAGGCAGUAGCUCUGAAACAGUUGCGUGUCUGAAGGUAAAAGGUUAGAAAAAGAAGAAGUACUUGUUUCCCUUAAGGUGUGUGAUCUGACCCCUCAGACCUCCAAGCUUUGCCCCACUGUUGGGAACAGGCAGAACAAAAGAUGAUGGCGCCUGCCAUGUGCCCUAGAGGGAUACAUAUCACAAACGAAGAGAGCAUGGGAGCAACACGUUCGUCCUGUUUCCUGAAGAAGAUGAUUCAGCAGCAGGAUGAUUGGUUGGCUCCUGGUCCCAAUCCUUUUUUUAAAAAAAGAAGGAACCUAAAUUAAAAAGAAGUGGCAAAGCCAGAUCCACGAGGGACUAAACAGCCUUCUCCAUUUCUCUCUUUGUCUCUUGCUUGCAAACCUGGAAAGAAGCGGAUGCAAAGCCUCUCUUGCUUUCUCUCCGGAGGUGCGGCUGAGCUCCAAAAACAACUUUUCUUCCAUUCAGAUCCUGAGGGGAUGACCUACUUUCCCGGUUCAUAUUCAAAGCUGGAACCCUAAAAUAAACACCCCCGUACUGUA